rnacentral:rRNA from 1 species
CAGUCGCCGCGGUAAUACGGAGGGUGCAAGCGUUAAUCGGAAUUACUGGGCGUAAAGCGCACGCAGGCGGUUUGUUAAGUCAGAUGUGAAAUCCCUGAGCUUAACUUAGGAAUUGCAUUCGAUACUGGGAAGCUAGAGUAUGGGAGAGGAUGGUAGAAUUCCAGGUGUAGCGGUGAAAUGCGUAGAGAUCUGGAGGAAUACCGAUGGCGAAGGCAGCCAUCUGGCCUAAUACUGACGCUGAGGUACGAAAGCAUGGGGAGCAAACAGGAUUAGAUACCCCUGUAGUCCCUGUCUCUUAUAC